AAAGGUCCCAGGUGCUUGUUGAGAUUCCCUGGACACCAGUUUGACCCUUGAGAGGGGUGUGGCCAGGUGAGGGCUAUGAUCAGGCUAUGAUCAAGGAGUGUCCUGGCCAUCCUCCCCCCACAAGACUGUCUUCUGUCAGCCACCUCUUAGGAUGAAACCUAUAGAGCCCUGAGGGGACUGGCUAAGGGCUGAGAGAGGAGGAACAGGUUCCAGUAUCGGUGAAACCAUCUCUGUGGGUACACAUGAAUGGAAUCGUCACUCUCAGUUCUUCCGCCAGUUAUCCAGCUGGGGACCACAUCUGUCAGGCCCAUAGCAGGGUCUCGGCCCAUGUUCACCUUUCUCCACUUGGCCUCAAGAGCUGCAGAAACCACUGAAUGAGAAACCCCAAGAAGAAAACUUGUGAAGAUGGUCAGGACUUCACCAUUGGGGUAUUUGAGAGGAUCCCCGCUAAUGCCUCUGUGGAUAAGUCUAGAUUCUGAGAGAGUCUCUCCCUGGGAUCUGAGUCCCACCAGUGAGGCUGGCUGCCACCGCAUCCCCAGGAUCUACUGUCUCUGUCUCUCAAGCACAGGGAAUACACGGGAAUUGUCACGGCUCCAGCUUUCCUUCGAGAUAAUCCGUAAACAUCCACACAUGACUCAAGCCAAAUAUUUGUUGCUGUUCAAAGUAUACCGUAGCGUACCCAGGUUCUCUUCCAGCUGGGGUCCAGCCCUGAGCUCAGCCGCUGGAAGGGAGAAGGAGCCGAGAACAUCAGUUACUGCCUGCCCGGUUGAUGGAUAAAGAAAAGCCACUCCAUCCCGAGGAUGAGAGAAUCCUUCCUUAGGGCAAGAGAAGUCACCAGGGGCAGGGGUGAACUUUAUCAACCCAAAUGCCACACCCCUGCUCCGGUUCUGAACCACGAAGGUGAUUGUCACCCCAGUAUGCUUCAGGGACCCCUUAAGCGUUAGAAUUACCCAAACUUAGUAGGUUGCAAGAUGUGGGAUCCAGCUACUGAGAACCGGACACAUUCCAGCACUACCAACCCCUGAAGAUUCUGUUGUGUUAGCUAAGUGGACUGAAUGUCUCCAGACUGCCCUUCUAGGCGGUGAGGAGCCAGGGGCACUUUCUCCUAGGACCUUGGCCAGGGGGUGCCUAGAAGCAGCCUUUCCUGCCAGCAGGGAAUGUUUAGCAGUGAGUCACCAGCUCUCCACACUUCCCAGAUUCCUUCUAAGUUUGCUGGGGUUCUCCUCCCACCAGCCAGGUGAACACCAGCAGGGGAAGGCCUCUGGCCUCUGGGCCAAGUUAGGGUCGCCUCUGCCUCUGGCAGCCUUGCCAGUCAAGCCUUCACACUGCCUCUGCCUGCUUUAGAGAGUGAUGAUCUCGCAGCCCUCUCUGGAAGAGCUCUGGGGAAUGAAGACCAACAAGCAUGCCCCACCUGGUGCAGUCUAGGACUAGCCUAUAGGUCAGCGUUACCACACAGACUGCUGUUAAACUUGCCUAGGUGGUUUCCUUUAACACAGCUUCCCUCAAGGCCAGAUAAUAGGAACAAAGCAAGAUUAUGUUGCAAAAUGUAUUUGAAAGCAAAACCUUCCUAGCAUUUGUUUUUUAACCUUGCAAAUAUCUCCAGAAUGUCUGCACUGACAGGACUGUGCAGGCUGCCUGCUCCAUGGGGGAAGGGAAGGCAGCCUGAUGCUCAGAAGGCUUAGUGGAGUGAAUUAAGGGGAAGGAGACUUAUUUUCUCAACGUCCACUAGCCAGUGAUCUCACAUUGCGCCGGAGCUGACUCUGGCACCAGUCUCUGCUGCUCCUGUCUGCCCUCUGUUUCCAGGAGAUAUUCAGGAUGGGAGUCUUCAUUUAUAUCAGACAAGAUGUAUCGAAUUGGCUUUU